rnacentral:rRNA from 1 species
GACGAACGCUGGCGGCGUGCCUAAUACAUGCCAGUUGAGCGAUGAAGCUUGGUGCUUGCACCAAUUUGAAGAGCAGCGAACGGGUGAGUAACGCGUGGGGAAUCUGCCUUUGAGCGGGGGACAACAUUUGGAAACGAAUGCUAAUACCGCAUAAUAACUUUAAACAUAAGUUUUAAGUUUGAAAGAUGCAAUUGCAUCACUCAAAGAUGAUCCCGCGUUGUAUUAGCUAGUUGGUGAGGUAAAGGCUCACCAAGGCGAUGAUACAUAGCCGACCUGAGAGGGGGAUCGGCCACAUUGGGACUGAGACACGGCCCAAACUCCUACGGGAGGCAGCAGUAGGGAAUCUUCGGCAAUGGACGAAAGUCUGACCGAGCAACGCCGCGUGAGUGAAGAAGGGUUUCGGAUCGUAAAACUCUGUUGGUAGAGAAGAACGUUGGUGAGAGUGGAAAGCUCAUCAAGUGACGGUAACUACCCAGAAAGGGACGGCUAACUACGUG